rnacentral:rRNA from 1 species
UACGUAGGUGACAAGCGUUGUCCGGAUUUACUGGGCGUAAAGAGCGCGCAGGCGGUCGUUCAAGUCGAGUGUGAAAGCCCCCGGCUCAACUGGGGAGGGUCACUCGAUACUGAUCGACUCGAAGGCAGGAGAGGGAAGUGGAAUUCCCGGUGUAGUGGUGAAAUGCGUAGAUAUCGGGAGGAACACCAGUGGCGAAGGCGGUUCUCUGGGACGGUACUGGACGCUGAGGUGCGAAAGCGUGGGGAGCAAACAGG